rnacentral:rRNA from 1 species
UAAGCAUUCCGCCUGGGGAGUACGGUCGCAAGAUUAAAACUCAAAGGAAUAGACGGGGACCCGCACAAGUGGUGGAGCAUGUGGUUUAAUUCGAAGAUACACGAAGAACCUUACCUGGCCUUGACAUGGUAGGAACCCUUAAGAGAUUAGGGGGUGCUAGCUUGCUAGAACCUACACACAGGUGCUGCACGGCUGUCGUCAGCUCGUGUCGUGAGAUGUUGGGUUAAGUCCCGCAACGAGCGCAACCCUCGUCGUUAGUUGCUAACAGUUCGGCUGAGCACUCUAACGAGACUGCCUUCGUAAGGAGGAGGAAGGUGAGGACGACGUCAAGUCAUCAUGGCCCUUACGGCCAGGGCUACACACGUGCUACAAUGGGGCGUACAAAGAGCUGCAAUACCGCGAGGUGGAGCCAAUCUCUUAAAGCGUCUCUCAGUUCGGAUUGUUCUCUGCAACUCGAGAACAUGAAGCUGGAAUCACUAGUAAUCGUAGAUCAGCUAUGCUACGGUGAAUACGUUCCCGGGUCUUGUACUCACCGCCCGUCACACCAUGGGAGUUGAUUUCACCCGAAAUCGGGAUGCCAAACUGGCUACCGCUUACGGUGGAAUUAGCGACUGGGGUGAAGUCGUAACAAGGUAUCC